AGUGAACGCUGGCGGUAGGCCUAACACAUGCAAGUCGAACGGCAGCACAGUAAGAUCUUGCUCUUACGGGUGGCGAGUGGCGGACGGGUGAGGAAUACAUCGGAAUCUACUUUUUCGUGGGGGAUAACGUAGGGAAACUUACGCUAAUACCGCAUAUGACCUACGGGUGAAAGCAGGGGAGAUUCGGACCUUGCGCGAUUGAAUGAGCCGAUUUCGGGUUAGCUAGUUGGCGGGGUAAAGGCCCACCAAGGCGACGAUCCGUAGCCGGUCUGAGAGGUUGAUCGGCCACACUGUAACUGAGACACGGUCCAGACUCCUACGUGAGGCAGCAGUGGGGAAUAUUGGGCAAUGGGCGCAAGCCUGAUCCAGCCAUCCCGCGUGGGUGAAGAAGGCCUUCGGAUUGUAAAGCCCUUUUGUUGGGAAAGAAAAGCUGCAGAUUAAUACCCCGCUGUUCUGACGGUACCCAAAGAGUAAGCACCGGCUAACUUCGUG
rnacentral:rRNA from 1 species